GACUUUACGCUACAAUCUAAAUUGAGAGAUGGAAAAGAAGUGGCUCUCCACAGCUUGUCCUUGGGAGCUAGGCAAGAUGCAACUGUUCCAAUAGGCUCUAUAAAGAAUCUGGGAGGGGGCAGGGUGAUCUUUCCAUUCCCCAAACCAGGAAGAGCUUUGCUUCUCAGAACUGCUUGGCUGUUGUCUUGUGACUCCCUGAAUAUUUGAGGUUUCACAAGUGCAUCCAGGGAAAGCUCAAAAAGGAUUCACACCUACAAACAAAACAGAAGGGGCUUCAUCGCUAAAGAAGUGCCCACCUCCAAUGCUAAGAAACACAGUGACCAAGGUCUCCUAGCAGGGAGAAAGAGCAUGAAACUGCCUUUGCUCCUUCCUAUGAGUCACCCUCUUUUACUGAGAAGGGACAGAAUGCUUCGUACUAAAGCUGCACAGACUUUGGUGUGGCUUCAGUUUUUCCACCUAUGAUAAAGCAUGGUAUUCCAUGGGACUCUGAUAGCAGAUGCAGUAAACAGAUGUGUUCCAACACAGAAACUGGGUGGAAAACUCCAUCAAGGCUUCAGGACACACCGAUCUAUUGGCUUGUCAGCUCUCCCUGGACAACUCAGCACCACCCCUGUCCUUGAAAACAACGCAGACUCUCCUGAACCCUACUGUAUGUCAUGUACUCAAUCUCCCCCAGGCAGGUGACUCAAUCAUGUGUCAGGUAACAAAGAGAGAGUGGAUAAUCCUACGGUAACUAAAAACAUUUAGAGAGGACUCCUAUAGAGAGACAUAUUCCAAGUUAGCACACAGAGGGCAUCGUUACAUGAGCUGACAUCCCCUUCACCAUGAAAUGGGGGAUAGACUGAGAGGUACCCUCUUCAACCAGUAUGAAUAUUCCAUGUCCAUUAGCCACAGUGAACCCUUGCACAUGACUCCUAUGGCUUCAAACAGGACAGAAGGCAAGAGACCAGUCACUACAGAGACUCCUCAAAUUUUUCAAGAACUAGGUCAGAAUCUAUUAUAGUUCAGUAGUAGCUUAUUUAGCACGCUCAUCGUCUGGGAUUGAUACCUGCUACCACAUACAUGAGAAAAUAAGUAGCUACAACCUAAAAGAAUCUAUGAGAACCACCUCCAUCUAGGUAGGUAAACUAGGUAAACAUGUUCAUGUAAACACUGACCAGGGCUGGGGACAGGGACAAGGAUCCAGCUAAAUACUGACGCAUGAACCACUUUUUCCUUCCUUGCUGACUUCAUUACCAAUUCUAUUAAGACAGUUUGUCUAGAAUCCCCCUUACCCUUAAUGGUUUUGUUUCAUUAAGUUUCCAUCUCUGGGAUAGAUCCUGAUGCUUGGUUAUUAGUUCUCAUUUCUCCCUGUUGCUACCCACACCUCUUGUUAGAGUCCAGAGUAAAGUCUGUCUUAGUAAUUUCCCUCUUGUGGGCCUAUCUUCAUUCCAGACCCCUGUGUUCUUCUAAUAGAAAUUGUAAAGGGAUGUAGACACACACAGCUGUCCAGACAGAGAGAAGCACAGAGCUGUCACUUGCAUCUUGGAUCAAGCAGGUGAGGGGCUAAAGUUCUACCAGCAUGUGCAUACCCAAGCUGUCACCUGGAAUCCAGCCUCCCCAAAAGAACAUUUCAAGCUCUCCCUGUUUCUCCUGUCCAGUUUUCAGCUCCAAGUGCCAAAGGGUUGAAGUUUCAAGCUAAACAAUGUACUGUGUAAGUUGGAAAGUCAGGGCCCAAGAUUCAACAACAGUGUUUAAAUCGACAUCUAUGAAUUAAUGUUACUAUGAUUUUUUAAAGUAUAAUUUAAAAACAUCUGACAAGAAUUAAUUACUUCCCUAUGAAAAAAUAAGGUGUACAAACCUAAGGUCAGGAUGGGGCACCAAGUUACCUUGAAGUCUCUACUGUCUCCAUAGUAGAGCCCUUUACAAAACUCAUUUCCUUUGGCAAACUCUUCUCAAGCUCCCCUGAAGUUAAUCUCAGCUAGCCUAACUCUGGAACUUUUGUGUUUAUUUUUAUGAUGUCCAACAUAAGCAAGAAUCCUGCUAGGUUGGUUUGACUAGAAUCCUCCAUCCUCCUUAUGUGACCACCGCCUAACAGACUUCUCACCAGCACCAGCCUCCAGGCGAUGUCUACACUCCACACCUUUCUUGAGCAAGCACCCUGUUAGGUCAGUUUGCCUGGAACGUCCCUUACCUUUGAUGUUUUCUCCUGGUAAAUUUCUAUCCUCUGAGCUCCACCCCGGCCCUUGGUGAUAAAUACCCACUGGUUCUUGUUUUCUGUACAUCUGUCAUGGUGGUCCUGUAUAAAGUCUACCUUGCUGUUUAACAAGCUUCAGUUAACAUCUUUUCUUCCAUAUCUUCACCUCUGAGGGAUAAUUCAACAGAUGAUGAAAAAAAAAAAAAAGGCAGAACAAAUUCUAGAAGUUUCUUCAGGAAAGCUCCUAAUGUGGUCACAGGACAUUUUCUUUUGUGCGUCUUCUGUCAAACUUUAGUUCAUAGCCACAUCUAAAUGUGCAGAAGCUAGUGAAUCUGUUCUUUCUUCUGUGCAGCCCUGUGCCAAGAUACUAACCCUACGGCCACUGAAGAAAGGGAGACCGGGUAUCGACAGUUUCUGUCCUGGGGAGUUCAGUGCAGUGCUUCAUCUCAGUUCUUUUCACCUUCUUUGAGUUAGGCCAGGGAACUUGAGAGGCUUUGGAUAACACAAGAUCUAGGAGGAAUUCACACAGAAAUUCUAUCCUUCCUCUUGAUUCCUUCCUAGUAGAAAUUCACAAGAAAAUGUCAGAAAGCCAAUAGUAGGGUUUAUAAGGAAGGAAGGUUACAAGGGAUGGGGCAUGAUAAUCUGAAAACAAAAGCUAAACCAACAUGUACAUAGUUAUGGUUCAGGGCAUAAAACUUAACCUAUGAUGUAAAAGAUAAUCAUUCAAAAAAUAUUGAUGGCACACAUAUUUAAUCCCAGUGCUUGGGAGGUCAAGGCAAGUGGAAAUCUGUGGGCUCAAGGCCAAACUGGUCUAUAUAGUGAGUCUAUAUAGUGAGUUCCAGACUAGCCAGGACUACAUAGUGAGGUGUGUGUGUGUGUAUGUGUGUGUGUGUCUGUGUCUGUGUGUGUCUGUUUCUGUGUGUCUCUGUGUGUGUGUGUGUGUCAGUGUGUCUUUGUCUAUGUGUGUGAGUGUAUAUGUCUAUGUGCUGAACCAGGGAUCAAGUCUAACUCUUUAGGAAGUGACAAUGUAAUAAUCUGCUAAAGAGAUUCAGUGUUUGGGGCUCCUACAACAAGCUCAAAAGGUGGGAGACUAAAGCUACUAUGUAGUCCUGGGCCCUGAUUGUUUCUGUUUAAAGUGAUCCCUUGUUUAUACAGGAGAAGCACACAUAUAAAGCAGGAAGUAUUGCUGACUUGAUAUUGCUGAGCCUUGCCCUAAUGGUGCAUAUGCCAUUUGUCUGAUAUGGCUGAGAAGGUUUUGUGAUUCUGGGCUCAUGGUCAGGCAUCAGUGUGUCAUUGCUGAAAGUCCGCAGAUGCCCUUCCAGAAAGAGACAUUUCCCGUUUUAACUCAGCUCUUUUGUGGCAGAAAUGAAUGUUCCAUGGGCAGCACGGCUUCAUUCUUCUCUGGGCAGGAAGGUCAGACAAAGCUUGGGUGUGGUGUAAGUCUGUGAAGGUGGGGUGGGAAAUCAGCAAGUGGUUCCACCUAUUGGAACCCUUUUAUAUUAAGUUUAUUAGAAUCUUGAGUAGAAGAAGCCAAGGGAACGUUUGGCUGGGGUGGAGUCCCAAAGUGGCCCAAGUCAUUUCCAAGAGUCAAAGAUAAAGAAAUGCCAUCUGAUUAGAAAGAGCAAACAGUUCCCUCUGCGCUCAAGUAGAGCUCUCAGUCUAGAUACCAUAGGGGAGAGCCAGGUAUGGAGUAAGCAGCAGAAAG
rnacentral:lncRNA from 1 species